rnacentral:rRNA from 1 species
GACGAACGCUGGCGGCGUGCUUAACACAUGCAAGUCGAACGAAGAGCGGUGGAAGCUUGCUUCUAUCAAUCUUAGUGGCGAACGGGUGAGUAACGCGUAAUCAACCUGCCCUUCAGAGGGGGACAACAGUUGGAAACGACUGCUAAUACCGCAUACGAUCUAACCUCGGCAUCGAGGAUGGAUGAAAGGUGGCCUCUAUUUAUAAGCUAUCACUGAAGGAGGGGAUUGCGUCUGAUUAGCUAGUUGGAGGGGUAACGGCCCACCAAGGCGAUGAUCAGUAGCCGGUCUGAGAGGAUGAACGGCCACAUUGGGACUGAGACACGGCCCAGACUCCUACGGGAGGCAGCAGUGGGGAAUCUUCCGCAAUGGACGAAAGUCUGACGGAGCAACGCCGCGUGAGUGAUGACGGCCUUCGGGUUGUAAAGCUCUGUUAAUCGGGACGAAAGGCCUUCUUGCGAAUAGUUAGAAGGAUUGACGGUACCGGAAGAGAAAGCCACGGCUAACUACGUG